rnacentral:lncRNA from 1 species
UAUUUUAUUUAUACAAGUACACUGUAGCUGUCUUCAGACAUACCAGAAAAGGUUGCAGAUGGUUGUGAGACACCAUUUGGCUGCUGGGAUUUGAACUCAGGACCUCUGGAAGAGCAGUCAGUGCUCUUAACUGCUGAGCCUGGUAGUAGGUGCAUUGCAGACAUUAUUUUGGUUGCUCUGAAAAGGAGUCAGUGGAAAUCUGUUGAGAUCUUUUCCCUCCUUCUCCUUGUGUAUGUGUGCAUGUGUGAGUGUUUGAGACCAGACAGACUGAAUAUGUAGCCUGAACUGGCCUCAACUUUUAGACAGUCCUGCCUUCAUCUCCCAUGUUGAGAUCAUGUGAGGUCACCAUAGUUGGUCUGAGUCACACUGCUUAUGAAGUAGUGUUCUCUUCAGUGGAACACUCGGUCUAUGGGAAGAAGACAGUCAGGAAAAUCUUACAUGUGGAGCCCACUUUGCAGUUAGUUGAUUUUCUUGCUAACACUUACUCAGGACCUCUGGAAGAGUAGUCGGUGCUCUUAACCACGGAGUCAUCUCUCCAGCCCGGAAGAAAUUAUUUAUUUAUUUAUUUAUUUAUUUUUUUCUUUUCUUUUCUUUUUUUUUUUUUUUUUUGAGACAGGGUUUCUCUGUAUAGCCCUGGCUGUCCUGGAACUCACUUUGUAGGCCAGGCUGGACUCGAACUCAGAAAUCCGCCAGCCUCUGCCUCUUGAGUGCUGGGAUUAAAGGCAUGUGCCACCACGCUCCGCGAAAUUUUUUUUUUCUUAAGGUUUAUUUACUUAUAUGAGUACACUGUAGCAGUCUCCAGACACACCAGAAGAGGGUAUCAGAUCCCAUUACAGAUGGUUGUGAGCCACUAUGUGGUUUCUGGGAAUUGAACUCAGGUCCCCGGAAGAAGCUUUUAAGAGGGAAAGUGAAGGCUAUUCUUGGGUGCUUCAUCCAUUUCAUAGGGGAGCUCAUUGUCCCAUCACUGCUGGUAACCAGCGGUGUCUGGGCAUCUUACUCUCUUGCCUGCAGUUUCUCUCCAUAGCAGUUUGAAGUAGUGCCUUCUAAUUUGUAAGUGGGAUAUCAUGAAGCUGCAUUUCAUCUUCAGUAGCAUGUCAGAGGGUCAACUCUCCCUUGAAUGGACGGGCGAGCGGACGGACAGACAAACAGACACACCCUUCCUUAGAUCUCCCUCUAUUUAAUAGUCUGUUGAGUUGCAAAUGCCAUUUGUUGCUGGUAUGCAUAGCUUCUCCCUUUGGAGGUCCUCACCUGCCUGUUCUGAAUGCAGAUGGCUCAGCGGAAGAUCCGAGACAUCCUGGCUCAAGUUAAGCAACAGCACCAGAAGGGACAGAGCAACCUGGCCCAGGCUCGGAGGAAGUGACCCCGCCCCCUCCUGUCCCAUUGGCUCCAAGAUCAGCAGGAGGAACACAGAACUGGAGGGGCGGGUGGAGGGCCGGUGUGCUCUUCCCAGCAGGCCUGAGAAUGAGUGGGAAUCAGGGCAUUUGGGCCUGGCUGGAGAUCAGGUUUGCACACUGUCUUGAGAACAAUGUUCCAGUGAGGAAUCCUGAUCUCUCGCCCCCAAUUGAGCCAGCUGGCCACAGCCCACCCCUUGGAAUAUCACCAUUGCAAUCAUAGCUUGGGUUGCUUUUAAACGUGGAUUGUCUUGAAGUUCUCCAGCCUCCAUGGAAGGAUGGGUCAGAUCCCAGUGGGGAAGAGAAAUAAAAUUUCCUUCAGGUUUUAUAAAACCUCAAAGGAUGGUUUGUUUCUUAACCCCUCCAAAUCUUUCUAACCUUCUUGGUUAAUUCACGAAAAUUCCUCCCGUUCUUAAUGUCCUGACCAGUAACUUACCUCUUCCUGGAUCCAUUCACACUGUUUCAGCCUUGUUGUGCUGGGGUGGGGGAGGGGCGGGAGGAGGGCUAGAACACAGCUUUGUUUACAAUAUUAACUCUGGAGAGCCCUAUCCUGGAUAGUCUAAUUCUGAUUUUUCCUUAACCAACCAUUAGGAACAGCAAGAUAUAAAGGAGAGAGUUAAUAAUUACAGUAUGUACCGAUCCACGUUUAAAAGGAGUCCUUGGGCUAAGGAUAGAGCUCGCCGGGCACAGUGCUUGCCCGGCACGGACGAGGCCCUGGCUUCUAUCCUUGGCAUCACAAAAAGAAAAAGAAAAAAAAAAGCAUGCCUUAUGGCUGAGCUCUUGCAGAUCUUGAAAAAUUGGCACAGCAGAAAUUCCUCCUGGCCGGCCAGCUGGGGCUUCCCCACCUCACUUAUGCCCCUGUAACCCUGGGAGUCCUGCACGGUGCCCUGGUACAGGGGAGUGGUGCUGCGUGCUUCAGGGUAGGGCUGACCACGGUCCCUGAUUCCCACCAUUCUCUCUCAGGCGGAUUUUAUAUAUUUUUUAAAGUCUAUUUUAAUGAUGGGAUAUAUGAGCUCUGGGAAGGGGGUGUGAGCUCCCUUUGGUAAAGUCUCGGUUCUGUGGAGGAGUUGAGUGGCCCAAAGGUGCUCUCGCUCCACCCGCGUGCUUUGACAAGGGCUGAGGCAGCUGUUGCGGUGUGUGUGUCCCCACCACGGCACUGUUCCCUUGUGGUGGUCGGACUACAACCCAACCCUGAGCUCCUGAUAAAGCUUAAAAUUUAGUCCAUCAUCUGGCAAACUUAGUAAAUUGGAGAAUGUCGCUUCUGUUUUUAUCUAGAGGAGUAUUUAACUGACUGCUUAUGCCUCCGUGAAUGUCAUUGUUAUUAUGAAAGGUGUGCCUGAAAACAAACCAGAGUACCAGCCGCAUUAUGCACAGAGGGGUGAGCACACUUAAUUUAUUAAUUUACCAGGCUCACUGAGAUCCUGUUGGAAGUUAACCCUUGUGGAGGGCAGCGGCCAUCAGUUAAGUGAGGCUCAGCCUCCCUCCCGAUCCUGUACUGACUGUAAUGCAUAUUAGCCAGGUGAUGCACUUUAGCUACCCUGGACAAUGCUGUCAAGUGUGCUGGGAAGAAAGGAAGGCCUCUCUGCCUGUGCUCGGGGUCCCCGCUUCCUGAUAUUGCAAGGACAACAGUGACAAAGCUACCGUGACGUGUGGGCGGAGUCAGGCAGUGCUGUGCGAAGUAAACUACCUCAAGGUGUGAAGUUACCUCAGCAAUGGUUUUCCUUUUGUUCCCUAAAUCCUGGUUUUUAAUUUUCUUUCUUUUUUUUAAUUUUUUUUUUUUUUUUUUUGCGGCUUGCUGAUAUUUUAUAUAAAAAAAAAGAAAAGCGAAGCAAAAGAGAAGCUGAUAGUCUUGAAUAUUUUAUUUUUUUAA